ACUCCUACGGGAGGCAGCAGUAGGGAAUCUUCCACAAUGGACGAAAGUACUGAUGGAGCAACGCCGCGUGAGUGAAGAAGGGUUUCGGCUCGUAAAACCUCUGCUGUUAAAGAAGAACAUAUCUGAGAGUAACUGUUCAGGUAUUGACGGUAUUUAACCAGAAAGCCACGGCUAACUACGUGCCAGCAGCCGCGGUAAUACGUAGGUGGCAAGCGUUGUCCGGGAUUUAUUGGGCGUAAAGCGAGCGCAGGCGGUUUUUAAGUCUGAUGUGAAAGCCUUCGGCUCAACCGAAGAAGUGCAUCGGAAACUGGGAAACUUGAGUGCAGAAGAGGACAGUGGAACUCCAUGUGUAGCGGUGAAAUGCGUAGAUAUAUGGAAGAACACCAGUGGCGAAGGCGGCUGUCUGGUCUGUAACUGACGCUGAGGCUCGAAAGUAUGGGUAGCAAACAGGAUUAGAUACCCUGGUAGGAUAGCG
rnacentral:rRNA from 1 species